UGGGCCCUACGGGACGCAGCAGUGGGGAAUAUUGCGCAAUGGGCGAAAGCCUGACGCAGCGACGCCGCGUGAGGGAUGAAGGUCUUCGGAUCGUAAACCUCUGUCUGCAGGGAAGAAUGGUCACUGUGCUAAUCAGCAGUGAAUUGACGGUACCUGCAAAGGAAGCACCGGCUAACCCCGUGCCAGCAGCCGCGGUAAUACGGAGGGUGCGAGCGUUAAUCGGAAUUACUGGGCGUAAAGCGCUCGUAGGCGGUAUGUCAAGUCAAGGGGGA
rnacentral:rRNA from 1 species